GGACAUCCUCCUCAUACCGCACUAUUACCAUGUAUCCGAAGAUGGAGCAGCAGGGGACGAAAGCCCCCACAGGUGUUUGAGCAAGAUAACAUUCGGUUAAUUUUUGAUCUUUGGAACGCUGCUACAUUUAUCAAAAAUGACUACAUACGGGCUAGGCUUACACAGCAUAGGGCUAAACGUGUUGUUUUGCUUUCUCUUACGUCAUGCCGAUUUGUACAAUUUAGACAUACCGCACGCUAUUCCACUCAGUGGUCCGAAUGGAACAUUUUUGGAUAUUCUGUGUUGCUACACAAGCAUCAGCAACAGACAUGGGUAAUAGUUGGCGCACCAGUUGCAAAUUCAAGGUUCAACCAGGCUGUCAGGAAUCCUGGAGCAAUCUACAAGUGCAAAAUUACAGACAAGAAGGACUGUGAACAGAUUCAACUCGGUGUAAUGCUUGACAUGCCCUGUGGCAGACACUGUUCUGCUGAGGUUGAAAACCAGUGGCUUGGUGUGAGCCUCUCCAGGCGGCAGCAGGAUGGACUUGUGUUGGUAUGUG